rnacentral:rRNA from 1 species
CCUACGGGAGGCUGCAGUGAGGAAUAUUGGUCAAUGGGCGCGAGCCUGAACCAGCCAAGUAGCGUGAAGGAUGACUGCCCUACGGGUUGUAAACUUCUUUUAUAAAGGAAUAAAGUGAGGCACGUGUGACUUUUUGUAUGUACUUUAUGAAUAAGGAGCGGCUAACUCCGUGCCAGCAGCCGCGGUAAUACGGAGGAUCCGAGUGUUAUCCGGAUUUAUUGGGUUUAAAGGGAGCGUAGAUGGGUUGUUAAGUCAGUUGUGAAAGUUGGCGGCUGAACCGUAAAAUUGCAAUUGAUACUGGCAGUCGUGAGUACAGGUGAGGUAGGCGGAAUUCGUGGUGUAGCGGUGAAAUGCUUAGAUAUCACGAAGAACGCCGAUUGCGAAGGCAGCUUACUAAACUGCCACUGACAUUGAUGCUCGAAAGUGUGGGUAUCAAACAGGAUUAGAUACCCUUGUAGGC